GACGAAGGGGGCUAGCGUUGUUCGGAAUUACUGGGCGUAAAGCGAGUGUAGGUGGUUGUCCAAGUUGGAUGUGAAAGCCUUGAGCUCAACUCAAGAAAUGCAUUCAGGACUGGGCGGCUAGAGGACCGGAGAGGAUAGUGGAAUUCCCAGUGUAGUGGUGAAAUACGUAGAGAUUGGGAAGAACACCCGUGGCGAAGGCGGCUCUCUGGGACGGUACUGACGCUGAGACGCGAAAGCGUGGGGAGCGAACAGG
rnacentral:rRNA from 1 species